UGACGUGUAGCUCAAUGGUUAGAGCGGAAGCUUUAUAAGCUGUGUGUGCCGGUCCGAAUCCGGCCACGCCAA
rnacentral:tRNA from 2 species